AUUGAACGCUGGCGGCAGGCCUAACACAUGCAAGUCGAGCGGAUGAAGCGAGCUUGCUCCUGGAUUCAGCGGCGGACGGGUGAGUAAGGCCUAGGAAUCUGCCUGGUAGUGGUGGAUAACGUCGGUAAACGGGCGCUAAUACCGCAUACGCCCUGAGGGAGAAAGUGGGGGAACUUCGGACCGCACGCUAUCAGCUGAGCCUAGGUCGGAUUAGCUAGUUGGUGGGGUAAAGGCCGACCCAGGCGACGAUCCGUAACUGGUCUGAGAGGAUGAUCAGUCCCCCUGGAACUGAGACGCGGUCCAGACUCCUACGGGAGGCAGCGGUGGGGAAUAUUGGACUGUGGGCGGAAGCCUGAUCCGACCCUGCCGCGUGUGUUGAGAAAGUCUUCGGAUUGUAGAGCACUUCAAGUUGGGAGCGAGGGCAGUAAGUUAAUCCCUUGCUGUUUUGCCGUUACCGACAGAAUAAGCACCGGCUAACUUCGUG
rnacentral:rRNA from 1 species